rnacentral:rRNA from 1 species
AGUGAACGCUGGCGGUAGGCCUAACACAUGCAAGUCGAACGGCAGCACAGUAAGAGCUUGCUCUUACGGGUGGCGAGUGGCGGACGGGUGAGGAAUACAUCGGAAUCUACUUUUUCGUGGGGGAUAACGUAGGGAAACUUGCGCUAAUACCGCAUACGACCUACGGGUGAAAGCAGGGGACCUUCGGACCUUGCGCGAUUGAAUGAGCCGAUGCCGGAUUAGCUAGUUGGCGGGGUAAAGGCCCACCAAGGCGACGAUCCGUAGCUGGUCUGAGAGGAUGAUCAGCCACACUGGAACUGAGACACGGUCCAGACUCCUACGGGAGGCAGCAGUGGGGAAUAUUGGACAAUGGGCGCAAGCCUGAUCCAGCCAUACCGCGUGGGUGAAGAAGGCCUUCGGGUUGUAAAGCCCUUUUGUUGGGAAAGAAAAGCAGCAGGUUAAUACCCCGCUGUUCUGACGGUACCCAAAGAAUAAGCACCGGCUAACUUCGUG